rnacentral:rRNA from 1 species
UGUAAUUUGUAGAGGAUGCUUUUGGUGCGGUGCCUUCCGAGUUCCCUGGAACGGGACGCCUUAGAGGGUGAGAGCCCCGUACGGUUGGACGCCUAGCCUCUGUAAAGCUCCUUCGAC